AUACGUAGGGUGCAAGCGUUAUCCGGAAUUAUUGGGCGUAAAGGGCUCGUAGGCGGUUCGUCGCGUCCGGUGUGAAAGUCCAUCGCUUAACGGUGGAUCCGCGCCGGGUACGGGCGGGCUUGAGUGCGGUAGGGGAGACUGGAAUUCCCGGUGUAACGGUGGAAUGUGUAGAUAUCGGGAAGAACACCAAUGGCGAAGGCAGGUCUCUGGGCCGUUACUGACGCUGAGGAGCGAAAGCGUGGGGAGCGAACAGGAUUAGAUACCCUGGUAGUCCACGCCGUAAACGGUGGAUGCUGGAUGUGGGGCCCGUUCCACGGGUUCCGUGUCGGAGCUAACGCGUUAAGCAUCCCGCCUGGGGAGUACGGCCGCAAGGCUAAAACUCAAAGAAAUUGACGGGGGCCCGCACAAGCGGCGGAGCAUGCGGAUUAAUUCGAUGCAACGCGAAGAACCUUACCUGGGCUUGACAUGUUCCCGACGAUCCCAGAGAUGGGGUUUCCCUUCGGGGCGGGUUCACAGGUGGUGCAUGGUCGUCGUCAGCUCGUGUCGUGAGAUGUUGGGUUAAGUCCCGCAACGAGCGCAACCCUCGCCCCGUGUUGCCAGCGGAUUGUGCCGGGAACUCACGGGGGACCGCCGGGGUUAACUCGGAGGAAGGUGGGGAUGACGUCAGAUCAUCAUGCCCCUUACGUCCAGGGCUUCACGCAUGCUACAAUGGCCGGUACAACGGGAUGCGACAGCGCGAGCUGGAGCGGAUCCCUGAAAACCGGUCUCAGUUCGGAUCGCAGUCUGCAACUCGACUGCGUGAAGGCGGAGUCGCUAGUAAUCGCGAAUCAGCAACGUCGCGGUGAAUGCGUUCCCGGGCCUUGUACACACCGCCCGUCAAGUCAUGAAAGUGGGCAGCACCCGAAGCCGGUGGCCUAACCCCUGCGGGAGGGAGCCGUCUAAGGUGAGGCUCGUGAUUGGGACU
rnacentral:rRNA from 1 species